rnacentral:rRNA from 1 species
UUCUACAGCUGUAUCACCCUGAACGCACCUGAUCUCGUUUGAUCUCAGAAGCUAAGCUGGGCCAGGCCCUAGUCAGUACUUGGAUGGGAGAAAAUAGGCCUGGGGCUAGGGC